rnacentral:tRNA from 1 species
GCACCAUGGCUCAGUGGUAGAGCACCUGCUUUGCAUGCAGAAGGUCCCAAGUUCAAUCCUAGGCAUCUCCA